GUCUAAGUACAUGCCGUAUUUAGGCGUAACUGCAAAUAUUUCGUAAAAUCAGUUAUGGUUCCUUGAAUCGUACCUUACUACUGGGAUAACUAUGGCAGUUCUAGAAUUAAUACAAGCAGCAGAGCUGUGACCCUCUGAGGACGAGAGCUUAUAUUAAACCAAAACUGACCUCGUGUUCAUAUUAUAUGGUCACUUUAUAUAAACUUGAGCUGAUAGCACGGUCUCCUACUGGCGACUUAUCCCUUUAAGUGACUGCCGUAUCCAUUGUUGAUAUUUGAUUACGCAAUUACCAUGGUCGCAGCGCGUGACGUUCAGUAGAGAUCUUUGGAG
rnacentral:ncRNA from 1 species